GUGCUUGCUUUGAUAGCACGUAUACAAAAUGUGGAAUAAUAGAAGAUUAUUUGUUUGGCCCCUGUACAGGGAUGACAUGCAAAUUUGUGAAGCAUUCCAUAUUUUA
ensembl:snRNA U6 U6 spliceosomal RNA